rnacentral:rRNA from 1 species
GCGAGUCUGAAUAGGGCGAAUGAGUAUUUGGUCGUAGACCCGAAACCAGGUGAUCUACCCUUGGUCAGGUUGAAGUUCAGGUAACACUGAAUGGAGGACCGAACCGACUUACGUUGAAAAGUGAGCGGAUGAACUGAGGGUAGCGGAGAAAUUCCAAUCGAACUUGGAGAUAGCUGGUUCUCUCCGAAAUAGCUUUAGGGCUAGCCUCAAGUGAUGAUUAUUGGAGGUAGAGCACUGUUUGGACGAGGGGCCCCUCUCGGGUUACCGAAUUCAGACAAACUCCGAAUGCCAAAUAAUUUAACUUGGGAGUCAGAAUGUGGGUGAUAAGGUCCAUAUUCGAAAGGGAAACAGCCCAGACCACCAGCUAAGGUCCCAAAAUAUAUGUUAAGUGGAAAAGGAUGUGGCGUUGCCCAGACAACU